rnacentral:rRNA from 1 species
GACGAACGCUGGCGGCGUGCUUAACACAUGCAAGUCGAACGGUGAAGGGGUCUGCUUUUGUGGGCCCUGGAUGAGUGGCGAACGGGUGAGUAACACGUGAGUAACCUGCCCCCUUCUUCUGGAUAACCGCAUGAAAGUGUGGCUAAUACGGGAUAUUCUGGGUCUGUCGCAUGAUGGGUCUGGGAAAGAUUGCGCCUUUGGGUGUUUUUGGUGGGGGAUGGGCUCGCGGCCUAUCAGCUUGUUGGUGGGGUGAUGGCCUACCAAGGCGGUGACGGGUAGCCGGCCUGAGAGGGUGGACGGUCACACUGGGACUGAGACACGGCCCAGACUCCUACGGGAGGCAGCAGUGGGGAAUAUUGCACAAUGGGCGCAAGCCUGAUGCAGCGACGCCGCGUGAGGGAUGGAGGCCUUCGGGUGGUAAACCUCUUCGCCAGUGAAGCAGGCCUGCUCCCUGUGGGUGGGUUGACGGUAGCUGGAUAAGAAGCGCCGGCUAACUACGUG